rnacentral:rRNA from 1 species
GACGAACGCUGGCGGUGUGCUUAACACAUGCAAGUCGAACGGUAAGGCCCUUUCGGGGGUACACGAGUGGCGAACGGGUGCGUAACACGUGAGUAACCUGCCCUCAUCUCUGGGAUAACAGUCGGAAACGGUUGCUAAUACUGGAUAUGAGCUUGCAAGGCAUCUUGUGGGUUGGAAAGAUUUUUUUGGUUGGGGAUGGACUCGCGGCCUAUCAGCUUGUUGGUGAGGUAGUGGCUCACCAAGGCUUCGACGGGUAGCCGGCCUGAGAGGGCGACCGGCCACAUUGGGACUGAGAUACGGCCCAAACUCCUACGGGAGGCAGCAGUGGGGAAUAUUGAACAAUGGACGGAAGUCUGAUGCAGCAACGCCGCGUGCGGGAUGACGGCCUUCGGGUUGUAAACCGCUUUCAAUUGUGACGAAGCUUUUUGUGACGGUAGCAGUAGAAGAAGCACCGGCUAACUACGUG